UUUUAAUUUUUACGAGAACCACUUCCAUUCUUUCAAAAAACCGUAACAAUGAAUCUUCUUCCUUUUUCACACUCAACAAUUAAAUAUUGUUUUUAACUGUUAAGUUCUCACCUUUUUGCAAUUAUUCUUCAAACAACACCCAUUAAUUUUCACCUAGAAAUUCUGUUGAAAAUGUUAAGCAAGAGAACUUAAGAAGUAAACAAUGGGUAAGUUCUCCCACCGAGUUGCUCUCAAGUUCUUGACUUGCCUAAACAGGACAAACAAAUAUGGAAAUGAGCAUACAAGUUGCUGCUCCUAUUAUAAUUGUUGAAGGUCUAUGAUGUGCAAGUUAUGAUGUUUUAAGACAUGACACUGACAAAUGAAAAAAAUAUACGUGCGAGACAUGGAUGUUUACUAAAUUUGUUGCAUGAAAUCAACCUUCAUUUAGCAAAUGCAAAUCAAAUUAUGACAACUCCAUUCAAAUGGGUUUUAGAUAUGCCAAAAAAUUUACAAAUUUCUGGUGCUCUAUUGUCGGAGUUGGCUAGUAGGUGGGAUGGACGUAGUGGGGUAUUUAGGAUUAGAGGUGGGAUAGUUAAUUUUACUCCAAGUGACAUAUGUUUGGCUAUAGGACUACCAAUAGUAGGCGAGCCUUUGAAAGAAUAUUAAAAUGAGGAAUUUGAUACGUUGUUGUUGUUUAUAGAAGAAAAAAAAGUAACUUGUGAUAUGAUUGGUGUGUUGCUUCACAUGUAUCGUCAGAAUAUAGUCAAUUUUUGUAGACUUUAUAUACUCUCUGCCUUUGGCGAGUUCUAUUUUCCUUAAUCAGAAAAUCGAGUAAAUACUCGUUAUAUUAAAAUACUUGAUGAUCUAGAGUCUCUGCAUAACUACAAUUGGAGUGUAGUGGUGUAUAAUGUUUUAGUUGAAAGUUUAAGUAGGAUUGAAAUUGUGUUGAAAGAGGGGAAGGUAGAUUCGCAAACACACAUAACAGGUUGUGCAACUGUCCUACAGAUUUGGGCGUUCAACCACUUGUCCUUCUGUUCCCAAGUUUAGAUUCCCGAGAUUUUUGAAUUGGCCAAUCUUAUAGUGUGAGAAGAAUACAAUAUUAAAAGCAUUUCAAAAUAACAUGGUGAAGUGAGAGUUAGUACCCCUGUUGAGAAUGUUGGGGAUUAAGUCGCAUGUGAGCCUAAUGUGAACAGUUCAGCAAAAGCAACGUCAAACAUAAUUACGAGAAUGAAAGAUAAGCCAAGGAAACAAGUUAAAAGUGUAGUCAAUCAAAGUCCAUUUGUGAAUCCGGAUGAAAAGAAGAAGAGGAAAAAAUAAGUGUGUUAUGGGCAUAUUUUGAGUUUGUGGGAGGUUCUCUAUGGCGAUGUAGUUGGUGGAAUUUGAACUACACUUUUUGCCUGUAUUUUUCGUUUUUUUUUUAUUUUUAUGAACAAAUAUGAAUGAACUUUUUUUUCUUUUAUGAACAAAUAUGUAUGAUAUUUUAAGUUUCUCUAUUUCUGUUUUUAUGAACUUUCUGUUCAAAUCCAUUAAUCAAGUUGUGCAAGGAAUUAACCA